UAAAUACUCCCUCCGUCCUAAAAUUCUUGUCUUAGAUUUGUCUAGGUACGGAUCUAAGACAAGAAUUUUGGGACGGAGGGAGUAGAAA
rnacentral:pre_miRNA from 1 species